UUUACUCCUACGGGAGGCAGCAGUAGGGAAUCUUCCACAAUGGACGAAAGUCUGAUGGAGCAACGCCGCGUGAGUGAAGAAGGUUUUCGGAUCGUAAAACUCUGUUGUUGGAGAAGAACGUAUUUGAUAGUAACUGAUCAGGCAGGACGGUUCCAACCAGAAGCACGCC
rnacentral:rRNA from 1 species